UACGUAGGGGGGCAAGCGUUGUCCGGAUUCAUUGGGCGUAAAGAGCGUGUAGGCGGUCAGGUAGGUCCGUUGUGAAAACUCGAGGCUCAACCUCGAGACGCCGAUGGAAACCAUCUGACUAGAGUCCGGAAGAGGAGAGUGGAAUUCCUGGUGUAGCGGUGAAAUGCGCAGAUAUCAGGAAGAACACCCGUGGCUAAGGCGGCUCUCUAGUACGGUACUGACGCUGAGACGCGAAAGCG
rnacentral:rRNA from 1 species